GAGUGAACGCUGGCGGUAGGCCUAACACAUGCAAGUCGAACGGCAGCACAGUAAGAGCUUGCUCUUACGGGUUGCGAGUGGCGGACGGGUGAGGAAUACAUCGGAAUCUACUUUUUCGUGGGGGAUAACGUAGGGAAACUUACGCUAAUACCGCAUACGACCUACGGGUGAAAGCAGGGGAUCUUCGGNCCUUGCGCGAUUGAAUGAGCCGAUGUCGGAUUAGCUAGUUGGCGGGGUAAAGGCCCACCAAGGCGACGAUCCGUAGCUGGUCUGAGAGGAUGAUCAGCCACACUGGAACUGAGACACGGUCCAGACUCCUACGGGAGGCAGCAGUGGGGAAUAUUGGACAAUGGGCGCAAGCCUGAUCCAGCCAUACCGCGUGGGUGAAGAAGGCCUUCGGGUUGUAAAGCCCUUUUGUUGGGAAAGAAAUCCAGCCGGCUAAUACCUGUUGGGAUGACGGU
rnacentral:rRNA from 1 species